UACGUAGGGGGCGAGCGUUGUCCGGAUUUAUUGGGCGUAAAGAGCGUGUAGGCGGUUCGGUAAGUCUGUCGUGAAAUCCUGAGGCUCAACCUCGGACGUGCGAUGGAUACUGCCGGGCUAGAGGAUGGUAGAGGCGAGUGGAACUCCUGGUGUAGCGGUGGAAUGCGCAGAUAUCAGGAAGAACACCAACGGCGAAGGCAGCUCGCUGGGACGGUACUGACGCUGAGACGCGAAAGCGUGGGGAGCGAACAGG
rnacentral:rRNA from 1 species